GGGGGGGGGGGGGGGGGGGGGGGGCGCGUGCGGGUCGGGCGGGACGGCCGGGGUGUGGGGGGGGGGGCGGGUGGGGGACGGGUGAGUGGCACGGGAGUAACCUGCCCUUGCCUUUGGGAGAACUUGAGGGCACUGGGGCUCAUACCGGAGAGGAGGUCCUGCUGCAUGGUGGGGGUGGGAACGUUUCGGCGGGUGGGGAUGGACGCGCGGCGUAUCAGCUGGUUGGUGGGGUAGUGGCUUACCCAGGCUUUGACGGGUAGCCGGCCUGAGAGGGUGACCGGCCACAUUGGGACUGAGAUACGGCCCAGACUCCUACGGGAGGAAGCAGUGGGGAAUAUUGCACAAUGGGCGGAAGCCUGAUGCAGCAACGCCGCGUGCGGGAUGACGGCCUUCGGGUUGUAAACCGCUUUCGCCUGUGACGAAGCGUGAGUGACGGUAAUGGGUAAAGAAGCACCGGCUAACUACGUG
rnacentral:rRNA from 1 species